GACGAACGCUGGCGGCGUGCCUAAUACAUGCAAGUCGAACGAGAGCAACCGGUGCUUGCACUGGUCAAUCUAGUGGCGAACGGGUGAGUAACACGUGGGUAACCUGCCCAUCAGAGAGGGAUAACAUCCGGAAACGGAUGCUAAAACCGCAUAGGUCUUCGAACCGCAUGGUUUGAAGAGGAAAAGAGGCGCAAGCUUCUGCUGAUGGAUGGACCCGCGGUGCAUUAGCUAGUUGGUGAGGUAACGGCUCACCAAGGCCGUGAUGCAUAGCCGACCUGAGAGGGUGAUCGGCCACAUUGGGACUGAGACACGGCCCAAACUCCUACGGGAGGCAGCAGUAGGGAAUCUUCCGCAAUGGACGCAAGUCUGACGGAGCAACGCCGCGUGAGUGAAGAAGGUUUUCGGAUCGUAAAACUCUGUUGUUAGAGAAGAACAAGUGCUAGAGUAACUGUUAGCGCCUUGACGGUAUCUAACCAGAAAGCCACGGCUAACUACGUG
rnacentral:rRNA from 1 species